GGAGCUUGCUCCCGGAUGUUAGCGGCGGACGGGUGAGUAACACGUGGGUAACCUGCCUGUAAGACUGGGAUAACUCCGGGAAACCGGAGCUAAUACCGGAUAGUUCCUUGAACCGCAGGGUUCAAGGAUGAAAGACGGUUUCGGCUGUCACUUACAGAUGGACCCGCGGCGCAUUAGCUAGUUGGUGGGGUAAUGGCUCACCAAGGCGACGAUGCGUAGCCGACCUGAGAGGGUGAUCGGCCACACUGGGACUGAGACACGGCCCAGACUCCUACGGGAGGCAGCAGUAGGGAAUCUUCCGCAAUGGACGAAAGUCUGACGGAGCAACGCCGCGUGAGUGAUGAAGGUUUUCGGAUCGUAAAGCUCUGUUGUUAGGGAAGAACAAGUGCGAGAGUAACUGCUCGCACCUUGACGGUACCUAACCAGAAAGCCACGGCUAACUACGUGCCAGCAGCCGCGGUAAUACGUAGGUGGCAAGCGUUGUCCGGAAUUAUUGGGCGUAAAGGGCUCGCAGGCGGUUUCUUAAGUCUGAUGUGAAAGCCCCCGGCUCAACCGGGGAGGGUCAUUGGAAACUGGGAAACUUGAGUGCAGAAGAGGAGAGUGGAAUUCCACGUGUAGCGGUGAAAUGCGUAGAGAUGUGGAGGAACACCAGUGGCGAAGGCGACUCUCUGGUCUGUAACUGACGCUGAGGAGCGAAAGCGUGGGGAGCGAACAGGAUUAGAUACCCUGGUAGUCCACGCCGUAAACGAUGAGUGCUAAGUGUUAGGGGGUUUCCGCCCCUUAGUGCUGCAGCUAACGCAUUAAGCACUCCGCCUGGGGAGUACGGUCGCAAGACUGAAACUCAAAGGAAUUGACGGGGGCCCGCACAAGCGGUGGAGCAUGUGGUUUAAUUCGAAGCAACGCGAAGAACCUUACCAGGUCUUGACAUCCUCUGACAACCCUAGAGAUAGGGCUUUCCCUUCGGGGACAGAGUGACAGGUGGUGCAUGGUUGUCGUCAGCUCGUGUCGUGAG
rnacentral:rRNA from 1 species